AGUCAACCUAACUCGUGGACGUGGAUAACCUCGGGAAACUGAGAAUAAACCACGAUAGACCAUAGUGCCUGGAAUGGCUUAUGGUCCAAACAGUUUACUGCCAUGGGAUGGGACUGCGGCCUAUCAGCUUGUUGGUGAGGUAAUGGCCCACCAAGGCGAUUACAGGUACGGGCUCUGAGAGGAGAAGCCCGGAGAUGGGUACUGAGACACGGACCCAGGCCCUAUGGGGCGCAGCAGGCGAGAAACCUUAGCAAUGUGCGAAAGCACGACUGGGUCAGUCCGAGUGAUUCCUGAUAAAGGAGUCUUUUGCCUGUCCUAAAAGCACAGGUGAAUAAGGGGUGGGCAAGUCUGGUGUCAGCCGCCGCGGUAAUACCAGCACCUCGAGUGGUCAGGACGUUUAUUGGGCCUAAAGCAUCCGUAGCCGGCUUUGCAAGUCUUCGGUUAAAUCCACCUGCUCAACAGAUGGGCCGCUGGAGAUACUACAAAGCUAGGGAGUGGGAGAGGCAGACGGUAUUCAGUGGGUAGGGGUAAAAUCCUCUGAUCCAUUGAGGACCACCAGUGGCGAAGGCGGUCUGCCAGAACACAUUCGACGGUGAGGGAUGAAAGCUGGGGGAGCAAACCGGAUUAGAUACCCGGGUAGUCCCAGCUGUAAACGAUGCAAACUCGGUGAUGCAUUGGCUUAUGGCCAAUGCAGUGCCGCAGGGAAGCCGUUAAGUUUGCCGCCUGGGAAGUACGGACGCAAGUCUGAAACUUAA
rnacentral:rRNA from 1 species